rnacentral:piRNA from 1 species
CUGGCACCCUAUCUCCUCAACACUGC